rnacentral:rRNA from 1 species
CAAGUAGGUGGUCUCAUUUGUCUGGGGUGAAAGCCUUGAGCUUAACUCAAGAAGUGCCCCAGAAACGGUGAGACUGGAGUCCUGGAGAGGGUCGUGGAAUUCCCGGUGUAGCGGUGAAAUGCGUAGAGAUCGGGAGGAACACCAGAGGCGAAAGCGGCGACCUGGACAGGUACUGACACUCAACUGCGAAAGCGUGGGGAGCAAACA